CGCGGGAAUUCGAUUCGACAACAGAGUUUGAUCCUGGCUCAGCCGAAUUCGUCGACAACAGAGUUUGAUCCUGGCUCAGAUUGAACGCUGGCGGCAGGCCUAACACAUGCAAGUCGAGCGGAUGAUGGGAGCUUGCUCCCGGAUUCAGCGGCGGACGGGUGAGUAAUGCCUAGGAAUCUGCCUGGUAGUGGGGGACAACGUUUCGAAAGGAACGCUAAUACCGCAUACGUCCUACGGGAGGAAGCAGGGGACCUUCGGGCCUUGCGCUAUCAGAUGAGCCUAGGUCGGAUUAGCUAGUUGGUGGGGUAAAGGCCUACCAAGGCGACGAUCCGUAACUGGUCUGAGAGGAUGAUCAGUCACACUGGAACUGAGACACGGUCCAGACUCCUACGGGAGGCAGCAGUGGGGAAUAUUGGACAAUGGGCGAAAGCCUGAUCCAGCCAUGCCGCGUGUGUGAAGAAGGUCUUCGGAUUGUAAAGCACUUUAAGUUGGGAGGAAGGGCAGUAAGUUAAUACCUUGCUGUNUUGACGUUACCAACAGAAUAAGCACCGGCUAACUUCGUGCCAGCAGCCGCGGUAAUACGAAGG
rnacentral:rRNA from 1 species